GUGCUCACUUACGCUGCACAUACACUAAAAUGGAAACACUGCAGAGAUGAUUAGCACUGUGACAUGUCACCCUGAGCAAGGGUGACAUACAAAUUUGUGAAGCAGUCCAUAUUUUU
rnacentral:snRNA from 1 species